UCUCAGCGACAGAGGGGAAAAUGUAGCUCCUAACCCGCUGGAUGUCAGCUACGCUGAGUUUCUGGCCCCAAAAACAGAAGAAUGAAUUCUGAGCAACAACUGAGAUUAAAAGCAGAAAAAUUUUAUUGGGCGACGGCACCUGAGCGACAGGAGGGGACCCAUAUGCUUGCCACGGGGGCCACCUCCCUAAGAAUGUCUUAUAGAACAAAAUCACGAGGAAAACCAGUACCUGUGGGCAGAAUGCACCCAAGAAUCCUGCAGCAUUGUGGACCAAAAGGAGGCCCUCACACCUCUGGGUAGAAGGUGUGGGUGGCAUUGCCCUCUCCCAGAGGAGUUGCCUCAACUCUGGCUUGGUGCCUAAGGAAACAGCGCACGACACAAUCUUCAGAGAAGACCCUCGCCCCAGAUGGAGACAAAUGAGCCUCAGGGGCUGAGGUGCAGCUAGACGCAGAGCCCAGUUCUGGGGAUGGAGGGGGGUUGGGUGGGGUGUGCAUCUCCCCUACCAGAGGUGGGCAGAUGGCUGAUACAGUUCUCAAAGCAGAAUCAGCCUUCCUAGGGCCAGAUGCAGCCUUGGGGAGGGUUGCUAUCUGCCCUAAGUUGUUCAAAAAGUAGCCAUACACAGGUUACAGGCCCGUCCUAUCAGCAUCAUCCUUGACUCAGGACCCAGAGCACAGAAGGCUUCUGUGUCCAGCGCACACAGAUCCGGGGAGCACACCACACUGCUACUGAGUUGCAGACACAUCAGGCCCCCCCUCCGGGCCUUCCAGCACCUCUGGGCCCCUGCCAGCCAGCAGGACUUCAGUCUAUUACUGAUGCCUGUUGCUCUGGGCUUCCUCCCAGACAAUCCCACCUGCCUAAUUUUGCGCCCCCUCCACUCAGUCCCAUUAAGUCACCUCAUUCAUGUCAGAUUAAGAUCAAGCCUUGCUCCCUGCUUUACCAAGUGACACCCCUCGUCUGUCCACCAGGCCAUCCUGGUGGCCCUAUGCCAUUCUGGUAGCCCCAGGGUCACCUCUGCCAGGUGCCCUGGAGAGUUCAUCAUGGUCUCAUGAAAACAGAGGCCCCUCCACCAACCUGAGGCCUCCCAUAAAGCUCUACCCUGGAUGAGAAAGUGACUGCUAAGGGACAUACUUCAGGAGUGGCAGGACCUCAACUCUUAAAGACCUGGUGUUUUCUCUUAUUGCACUCUGUCCCUCUGUGCUCAGAGCCACGAUACUAGUCAGGUGUACUGUCAAAGUGCUGGCAGCAGGCUGACAUCCUGAGAGGUUUAUUCAGCUCACAGUUUUAGAGGCGGAAGAUCCCAACUUAGUGUCACAGGCUGUGGUCAGCUCUAGGGAGGACCUCACAGUGCAUGUGGGAGGACAAGAUCUCCAUACAGGAAGUGGGUGGAGGUACAGGAAGUGGGGUGGGGGAACAGGAAGUAGAGCAGGGUACAGGAAGUGGGGUGGGGGUACAGGAAGUAGAGCAGGGUACAGGAAGUGGGGUAGAGGUUUAGAAGUGGAGUAGGGGUACAGGAAGUGGGGGGGAGAACUCACUGUAGUAACCACCCACUCCUCCCAAGAGAGCUCAGGGUUCCAGCACCAAUUUAGUCCCUUCCAAAUUUAGCUCUCCUCCCACCUAAGGACCUCCCAUGAAGCCACACCUCUUAGAGUGCCUGCCUCUCACAAUGUCAAAAUCAUCAACUGAGGACUAAGUCACCUGAAAGACAGUCCUUUGGCGGACACACUGGAAAUACUCAACUCUUACAGAAUGUUCAGCAGUUAUGAAGAAAUUCUGAUGUAACCUAAUCAAGGAUAAAAAUUCAGUGGUAUGCAAAUGACAAAAACUCAAAAGAGUGCAAAUUUUGGUGAUUUUGUAAGGUGAAAGGUGGCGGCGCUUGUUUAGAUUUUCACUUUUGUGCUGCUUCAUUGUCUCCAAGCAUGUUGUACUGGGGACAAGAGUCACCCUGUCUCCUCAGCACCCAGCCAGACCCUCCCCAGCUGGCCUCUACUCUGGCCCUCUGGUAAGGCCCUCGGUCCUAGAAGGCCUCAGUGAAAUCCCACUCCCUCAGGAAGACCUUGCCUGCCCUGUUACCCACCAAGCUCACUAAACUCAACAUAAAUAAGCAACGGAUGGAUCCCUUUCACCACAAGUCGGACGCUAAACAGGCACACAACAGGGUUAUCUGUCUCUGUGAAAAGUUAUUCCCCCUUGUAAAGGGUUAACAGAGUUUUGUGUUUUAACUAUAAAAAAUUAUAAAAACCCCUUGUGUUU